UACGUAGGUGGCAAGCGUUGUCCGGAUUUACUGGGUGUAAAGGGGGCGCAGGCGGGAAGCUAAGUUGGAUGUGAAAUACCGGGGCUCAACUCCGGAGCUGCAUCCAAAACUGGUUUUCUUGAGUGGAGUAGAGGCAAGCGGAAUUCCGAGUGUAGCGGUGAAAUGCGUAGAUAUUACACAGAACACCAAUUGCGUAGGCAGCUUACUGAGCCGACACUGACGCUGAGGCACGAAAGCGUGGGGAUCAAACAGGAUUAGAUACCCCGGUA
rnacentral:rRNA from 1 species